UACUUGCAUCAUCCUGAUGCAAGAKCGACUAUGUUGAAUAAAGUUCUAGGUAGAAUUAUGAUAAUGACAUUGUCUGCCUAUGUGUCUUGACCAAAUUACGUGCCAGCAGUCGCGGUAAUACGUAGAAGACUAGUGUUAUUCAUGUUUAAUCGGUUUAAAGGGUACCUAGACGGUAGAUCAAGCUUAAAAAGGACUAAUUUACUAGAGUUACUUACGAGGGGGCAUUAAAGUACUAUUGGUGUAGAGAUGAAAUUCUGUCAUACCUAUUCUGUAAGGGGACAUAUGGCACAGGUAUAGGCGAAGGCAUCCCCUUAUGUGAUAACUGACGUUGAGGGACGAAGGCUUUGUAUAGCGAAUAGGAUUAGAUACCCUAGUAGUCGAAGCAGAAAAUUAUGAAUGUCAUAGAUUAGACGUAUAAGUUUAUUCUAUAAAUGAAAGUGUAAGCAUUCCACCUCACGAGUAAUUUGGCAACAUUGGAACUGAAAUCAUUAGACCGUAUCUGAAACCAGUAGUGAAGUAUGUUGYUUAAUUUGAUAAUCCGCAARGAACCUUACCACAAUUUGAAUAUUAAUAAUUACAAGCGUCGCWCSGCUSUCUUCAGUUAAUGUCGUGAGGUKUUGGUUASUUCCAUUAAAUUARCGUAAACCCUUACUUAUAUCUUAUAUA
rnacentral:rRNA from 1 species